rnacentral:rRNA from 1 species
AACGAACGUUGGCGGCGUGGAUUAGGCAUGCAAGUCGAACGAAUCCCACUGUUGUAGCAAUACAGUGGUGGGGGAAGUGGCGAAAGGGGCAGUAAUGCGUGGGUAACCUACCUCGGGGACGUGGAUAGCCAUUCUAACGAGUGGGUAAUACGCGGCGAUUUGGUUGAGGGGCAUCCCUUGGCCAGGAAAUGAGUUUCGCCUCGAGAGGGGCUCACGUGAUAUUAGCUAGUUGGUGAGGUAACGGCUCACCAAGGCAAAGAUGUCUAGCGGGUGUGAGAGCACGACCCGCGCCACUGGCACUGCGACACUGGCCAGACACCUACGGGUGGCUGCAGUCGAGGAUCUUUGGCAAUGAGCGCAAACUUGACCAAGCGACGCCGCGUGUGCGAUGAAGGCCUUCGGGUUGUAAAGCACUGUCGAGGGGGACGAAGCCGCAAGGUUGACCGAUCCCUGGAGGAAGCACGGGCUAAGUUCGUGCCAGCAGCCGCGGUAAGACGAACCGUGCGAACGUUGUUCGGAAUCACUGGGCUUAAAGGGCGCGUAGGCGGCUUGCCAAGUCA